GGGCGCGGAGACUGCGCGGCCCGGGCGAUCGGCGGCGCCUCCGCCUCCACCUCGGGCUCCGGCUCGGCUCGGCGGCGGCCGCGGCUGCCUGCGCGAGAUCAACAAGUCGGGCUGAGCUUCGGCUCCGCGCUCGCUGCGAUUCUGUCCCGCACUUCGGAGCGCGGCGAGUGGCACCGAGGCGGGACGGCGCCACCUGCGGGUCGGAAGCGCGCGCGGCUUAACCCCUCCGUGCCCGGCCGGGCCCUGGCCCAGGCCGCGGGGCCCACCCGGGCGGGCUGUCUGCGUCCCGGCCACCACGAGGCUGAGCGCCUACUGCAUGCAGGCUCUGCGCGUAGAUUCAGCUGCGAAGACAACCAGCCUCCGGGUCGCGGGGCUGCCGGGAGAGCGACUGUAAACAGAAGUAGGGGACUAUGUCAGACAAGCUAGAUGCUGGGAGGAUGGGAGAGCUGGAGAAGGCAGGGGGCAGUUUUAAUGGCCCUUGCUUGGAUUCCACUGCAGAUUCUAAAAUCAAAUUCUAGGUUCUAGAAGAAGGUGGACAGUAUGUCUAUCCACAAACAAACAUGCGAACCGAGUGGGCAGGUGGGUGGUUGGGGCUGAGGAGAAGCGUAAGGCCAGAGGAGGGGGCAGUGAGGACUCAGCUUAUAUGGCCUGAUCAGUCACUCACCCAUUCAUGCCAGCUUGGACGGCUGCUUCUGAAGAGCUAAGUGUCAGGCUCAACCAAGGGAUCCCCCGGCCCUGCCUCACUCUGUGCAGUGGGGCAGGCACCUUCUAUCAGGCCAUCUCGGAGUGACUGUGGGGUGGGAAGGUUUGCAUGCAGAAGGGCCAGGCUUCCCUCCAAUCGCUCACACUUGGGCCCUGCCUGUUCUUUACUGGUUCGUUCUCUCACAUACGUAUCUGUUGUGUAGUAUUAAGGUGGCAGGGAUGCAGAAGAGAGCCGUGCCCUGGAGAGGGAAAACUUAAUGAGACUUAGUGCCCCAAGAUACGGACGGCCCUUCCCCUUUCCACUCUUGGCCUCCUUCCCAACUGCAUCACACAGAACUGUUUGUAGAAACCUAUCCACUCUCCUCAGUUCCAUCAUCAUGACGCAGCCCAAGCUGCCACUGCCUUCUCUCCCCGUGACCUCUGCUCUGAGCUCCCCCAUCCCUCUCUGCCUCCCACAGGUCACGAUGAUAGCCACGGCUGUCAGAAUGAAUGUUCCCUUUGCUGAACUGAAUGUGGCUGUCACUGGAGGAAAGCCUUCCCAGGGUUUUUCCUUGCUCUGGCCUGAUAGAUCUGGUUCAGUCCCUCCCUCUUCGUCUCAGCUUGCCCACCAUGGAAGCAAGACAAGCAACUAAACGUAUUUUUAUUUAUUUAUUUUUUAACGAGAAGGUUUCAGCCAAUCAUGAGUGCUAACAGGAAAUCCUGAGUUCAGUGAUGGGGAGGGGCGGGCUAUACUGAGAGCUUUACCUGGGUGGUCAGGGAGGGCGUCUCAGAGGUGGAAGACAGACUCCACAGGUAAGAAGGGAGUCAGCUUUGGGGAGAUAAGAGGAGUUUCCAGGCAGAGUGUGUCCAGGUUAGAGGUCAAGGGCAAAUGAGGAACAGCCACUCCCUGGCCACAACAAAUCGGCAUAGAAAAUACAAGACGUUUUCCUUCCCUAUUGUGCCGUGGGGUGUGUGUGUGUGUGUGUGUGUGUGUGUGUGUGUGUGUGCGUGUGCGUGUGCGUGUGUGCGCGCGCGCACAUGUGUACUUGCCACAAAUUAAAAUCACCUGAGCAGGGAGCCUCACUUGAGGAAUUGUCUUAAUUUUCUUAAUUGAUGUGGGAGGACCUACCCUGAUGUGGGCAGCACCGACUGGUAGCAGCCCAGAUUGAAGGGUGUGGAGGAAGGAAGAUGCCUCGCCUUUUGUUGCCUUGGCCUUGCCUCUUGCUGCAGAGCUGAUGGAUGCUGCUGCUGCUGCUGCUGCUGAUGCUGAUGAUGAUGAUGACGACGACGAUGAUGAUUUCCUCACUGGUAUCAGAACCAGCGAUUUCAGGCGUCCAUCAUGAACUAAGGACCUUUAAGUCUCCAGGAACCUCCAGAUUUUUGGUGCCGGCUUGGGACUGCUGAGACACCUCAAGGACCAAGAAACUACCAGAUUCUCAGCCUCAUGGUAUUGGGACUAUAUUCAGAAAUAAUACAGGAUGCGUGCGCUCAUGUGUGUGUAUGCAUAUGGAGGCCAGAGGUCAGCCCUGGGUAUGUUCCUUAGGCGGCAUCCACCUUUUUUAUUUUAUUUAUUUGUUUAGAGAUAGCUUCUCUCAUUGGCUGGGAACUCACCAAAUAGGCUAGGCUGGCUGGCCAGUGAGCCCUGGGGCUCUGCCUGACUCUGCUGCUUCAGCCUUGGGGUUUUAAACAUACAUUUCAAUGCUGGUUUUUUGUUUUUGUUUGAUUCCAUGGGUUCUGGAGAUUGGACUCGGGUCCUGUACUUGUGAGGGAGGCACUUUACCGACUGCCGUUCCCCCAGUCCCCUUCAUUUCUUCCUUCCUUACCCUCCCACUCCCGAGACUGCUUCCUACCUCAUGGGCAGCACUUGUUUCCUGGUUAGUGGAUUUUAUGUUUUGUUUUUUCUGUGUGAAAUCUUGAAAAAAAUGGUGUUUUGUGUCUAUAUCUCAACUCAUACUUUUUGUUUGUUUGUUUUUUAUUUGUUUUGUUUUGCCUCCCCCCAACCCCCGAAAAUAUUUGACUAUGUAGCCCAGGCUGGAUUUGAACUCGCCAUGCUCUCUGUCUUGUCCUUCUGAGGGGUACGGGAUUACAGGUUUACCUGCCGGCACCAUUAGGCACACUUCACCUUACCCAUGUGCUCUGUGCUAUGACACUCUAAGGUUGUUUCUUAUCUUCAGGAGAGCUACUCACAUUGAUGUGGGUUCACCAGUCCUCACACUGAGUGUCCUUCUUCACUGUCCAGUCCCUCAAAGUCACUUGUAGUCCUAGUACUUAGUGGACUCACCUGAGAGCACCUUCUCAUAUCUGCUCACAGACCAGUGACAUGAUUUCUUUCCAAGGUCUCUUGUAGCCCAGGUGGGCCUUGAACUUGGUUACAUAGCCAAGGAUGAGUUUGGAUUUCUGAUCCUCCUGCCUUCGCCUCCUAAGUGCUGAGAUUCCAGGCAUGCACCACCACACCUGAUUUACACAGCGCUAGAAAUGAGCCCAGUGCUCUAUCCACUGAGCCUUGUCCCCGGCCCUGACACGGUGACUUUGUAAACACGCUUCCUGAGCCUUUGGAACAAUGUGUCCCAGGGUGUGUACACUCUUGACUAAGUGCACCCAGACUCAGCUGCCUCUGGUGGCAUCUCCUCUAAAGUGCUGGGAGUCCUUCGGCCUCCAUUAGCUUUUAUCCAGAGAGUGGAGCGUUGAAUGUCUAGUGUGUGCCAGCAAACAGCUCAGUGCACUGAAAUGUCCCUUUCAUUGACUAUUGAUGAAUCUCAGGUUUGCUUAUAUGCAUUUGAGUUUGUGUGUGUGUGUGUGUGUGUGUGUGUGUGUGUGUGUGUGAGAGAGAGAGAGAGAGAGAGAGAGAGAGCUGUUGUGGUGAUGGUGGCUGUUGUGGUAGUUGUUAUUGUUAUGGCUGCUAUGGUGGUGACUGUUGUUAUGGGUAUAGUUAUGGUUGUAGUAGUGGUUGUUGUUACAGUGUGGUGGUGGUAGCUAUUGUUAUAACUGUAGUUGUAGUUGUUAUGGUUGGGGGAUGUUGUUAUGGUUGUUAUUACUGUGGUUGUUGUUAUGGUUGUUUGGUGGCUGUUGCUGUGGUUGUUAUGAUUAUGGUUGUUGUAGUGGUAGUGACUGUUGUGGUUGUGUUGGUGAUGGCUGUUGUUUUAGUUUUGUUUGUAGUUGCUAUGGUUGAGAGGUUGUUAUGAUUGUGGUUUUGUUUUAAUUGUAGUUGGUGGUUGUUGCUGUGGUUGCUAUUAUGGUUGUGGUUGUUAUGCUUGAUGAUUGUUGUUACUGUGGGUGUUGUUAUAAUUAUGGUUGCUAUUGUGGUUGGUGGUUAUUAUCAUGGUUGCUAUUAUGAUUGUGCCUGUUGUUAUGACUGGUGAUUGUUGCUGUGGUUGUUGUUACGAUUGUGCCUGUUAUUAUGGCUGGUGAUUGUUGAUGUGGUUGUUGUUAUGGUUGUGGUUGUUAUUAUGCCUGGUGGUUGUUGCUGUGGUUGUUGUUAUGGUUGUGGUUGUUAUUAUGGCUGGUAGUUGUUGUUAUGGUUGUGGUUGUUAUUAUGGCUGGUGGUUGUUGUUAUGGUUGUGGUUGUUAUUAUGGCUGGUGGUUGUUGCUGUGGUUGUUGUUAUGGUUGUGGUUGUUAUUAUGGCUGGUGGUUGUUGUUGUGGUUGUGGUUGUUUAGUGGCUGUUGCACUGCUUGUCACUGUAGUUGUUGGUUUUCAGGACUCCUUUACAUGAUCUAGAUGCUAAAUCCCUCCUGGACUUUGGAUGUCUAUUCUGUCACCUGCAUAUUAAUUUUUUGCUUGUGGUAUCUUUUGUUUCCAGAACAUUAUUUGAGGGGCCUGUGAGAUGGCUCAGCAAUGCUUGACCCCAAAUCUGGCAACCAUCCUCCUGCCUCAGACUCCUGAUUAGCUGGGAUGACAGGCCUGAGCCACCAGUUCUUGUUUUUUUGGCAACCAUCCUUGGGGCAAGCCACUUUCCCACACUGGACUGAGGGGUUGCCUUUGUCCUCUGCAGCCCCUCAGGUCUACUGCCUGCCCGUCUGGUCUUUGUGUCCUCCUGCACAUGUGACCCUCAUCUGAGUAGCAUGGGGUUCUACAUGCUGAGGUCAUGAGGCCUCUCUCUCUGCUCUUCUGUUUUAGGGUGAGUAUCUACCCUCUUCUUUCAGUGAGUUCCAAAGGGACAAUCAUGCAACCCUGGAUGUCAUUUUGUAUUCCCAAACAGCAGCCUGUCACCAGCUCCUACCCAGAGCUCCCAUCUACCCAGGGAACCCUUGAAAACUGCAGUCUCCAGGAAGAAACCUGGCUUGAAAGCCCAGAAAAGCUCUUCUCCCCAAAAAGGAGGCAGAUGUUUCAUUGUUUAUCCCAGAGGACAUGUGACAACAUCCGCACAGGGGUUUGGUUAUCACAACUCUGGGGGAGGGGACAUCUUCCUGGUGUUUAGUUGGCGAAGGCAAGGGGAUGUCGCUAAACAUCAUGCUGUGCACAGAAUGGUUCUUCACCUUGAUAAUAAAUGUAGCUGCUGCCCUGCAAGUCAAUAGUACCAAGCCUGAGAAACCCCACGUAAGCCUCUUGGAAGGCAAAGGUGUUUCCCAACCUAGAACUGCUCUUCUCACAGUCCACAGUGAGCGUCUCCUUUGUGACACACUGAAGACACAGGGCAAGAAAAACAGACAUCACUCAAUGCCUGUAUAGUUGGUAAACAUACAGGUCAACCAGUCAGAGCAUCCAGCUGUAGUAAGUACCGUGAUGAAAAGCACCAGGAGGGAGCAAGGCACAUGACUGAUGGAGGUAUCAGCAGUGUUGGAGGAGGUGGUCCAGGGAGGCUUCCUGACGAGGCAGUUACAGGGAAACUGAGUAUCACAGGGGGACAUCAACCUUGUGAAUGCUGAAGAAGGAGGUACAUCAGGGAAGUCCCCAGAGCCCAGGCCCUGAGCAUGUAAUGUUUGAGAAUAUCUAGAUUCAGGGCCUUUUGUUUUCAAGAAGGAAGGAGUCUGAGUUUCCUUGUGUUGGGAAGCCCUGGCAGUUUUCCACAGAAGGGUCCCAGGCACUCAGGCUCAAGUGAGUCCUCCAUCAAAGGGGGCACCAGGGAGAACUGAGUAAUGCAAGGUAGUCUCAGGAGACUCAGAAGAAGGCUCCUGCAAUUGUCCAGACCAAAUGUAAUGAGCCCUGGACCAAGUGGUAGGCAAUUCACUAGCCAUAGGCCUCUGCAGAGAUUCUUCUGCAAGUCCAUGGCCAUCGCCAAAGACCCUGUGUGAUUGGGUCACCCUGCCACACCUACAAAGUUUAGCUGCCAGCUUAGGGGGGAAGCAUGCAGAUCCCCUUGCACCUAAAAAUGCAGAGGGGCUGGCUCUGUCAGGCCCCAUGCAGCCCUGUGGCUGUGUGUCUGCAUGUUCACUCAACAAGGAGUAGUGGAAAGUUCCUUCAGGUGGCAGUGUGGCCUCGUGGCAAAGAGAGAGGACUCCUGGGCAGAAUGGCUGGUACAGAAGGGUGAUCUAGCCUCUCUGAACUGUAACUUUCCCACCUUUAAGAUGAGUAGCCAUAGAGAGAGCAUCUGCUUUAUUAGGCUAUGAGGGGAUUGAUUGAUUGAUUGAUUGAUUUUUGUUUUUCGAGACAGGGUUUCUCUGUGUAGCUUUGAAGCCUUUCCUGGAACUCGCUCUGUAGCACCAGGCUGGCCUCAAACUCACAGAGAUCCGCCUGCCUCUGCCUCCCAAGUGCUGGGAUUAAAGGCAUGUGCCACAACCUCCUGGCUAUAAGGGGAUUUUUAAAAAUUCUCUUGUUAUGUAUAUUUGUGCAUAUGUGGGUAUGUAUGUUGAGGACAGAGGUCAAUGUUGGGUGUCUAUGAGAAAUAUUUUUUUUAAGAUUUAUUUAUUUUUAUGUAUACAACUGCUCUAUCUGCAUGUAUACUUGCAUGCCAGAAGAGGGCAUCAGAUCCCACUAUAGAUAGUUGUGAGCCACCAUGUGGUUGCUGGGAAUUUGAACUCAGGACCUCUGGAAGAGCAGCCAGUGCUCUUAACCACUGAGCCAUCUCUCCAGCCCCGAGAAAAAAUUAAUUUCAUUUAAUUUAAUGUGUAUGGGUGUUUUGCCUGCACAUAUAUUUGUGCACCGUGUGCGUGCCCGCAGAGAGUAUUGGAUCCCCUGAGCUGGAGUUACAGAUGCUUGUGAACCACCCUGUAGGUGCCGGGAGUAGAACCCAGGUCCUCCAGAAGAGCUGCCAGUGCUCUUAACCGCUGAGCCAUCCUUCCAGACCCUAUGAGGAACUUUUUAAAGCCCUUUACCACUAAUGGCUCUGUCUGGUCAACUGCAGGUCGCUGAGGCAACUUGGGGUUGCUAAGGGAGGGGCUUCUGUGUCCAGCUCGACCUAAGUAACCAGAACGCUUAGCUGGUGGAGGAGGAGGCUCUGUCAGUAAAGUGCUCAUGCACAAGCACGAGGACCCGAGUUCACAUCCCCAGGAUGCACAGGAAAGUCAGGAGUGAGUUCACAUCCCCAGGAUGCACAGGAAAGUCAGGAGUGAGUUCACAUCCCCAGGAUGCACAGGAAAGUCAGGAGUUCACAUCCCCAGGAUGCACAGGAAAAUCAGGAGUGAGUUCACAUCCCCAGGAUGCACAGGAAAGUCAGCGCGCACUUGUAGUCCCAGCACUAGGGAAGCAGAGACGGGGGACUCCUGGAGCGAGCUCACUGGCCAUCUGGCCGAGCAGGAUCAGGAAGCUCCAGGUUCAGUGAGAGACGCUGCUUUACCCUGUGUGGAGUGUGACUGGAGAAGACACCUGGCGUCAGUCUCUGACAUCCACAUGCACAUACAUGUGAACACGCACAAAACAUACCACACACACAAAUAGAAAACAGAAUAAGUAACUGUUUUAAAAAUGCCUAACUAGCCGUGUGGUGGUGGUGCACGCCUUUAAUCCCAGCACUCGGGAGGCAGAGCCAGGCGGAUCUCUGUGAGUUCGAGGCCAGCCUGGACUACCAAGUGAGUUCCAGGAAAGGCGCAAAGCUACACAGAGAAACCCUGUCUCGAAAAACCAAAAAAAAAAAAAAAAAAAAAAAAAAAAGCCUAACUAAUCCAUGCAGAAGCUUGGGGAGCCUAGGAGGGAUCGCUCCCACCAUUUUGUUUUGCCUCCCUCACAUAGAGGCUCUCUGUUCCUAGGCAUGGUGCUUGAUCCUUGCAAAAAGACCACUGCUGUGCCAGACGUCAGCCUUCACGAAAACAUUCAAAGUAAGGUGACCAGAUGGGGGGAAGCCUCUUGUCCUCCACAGCUGAGUCCACCUGGAAAUAAAGUUGUCACAGGGUAAAGUGGAGCUGAACGGGGUCUAUCAUUAGGGCUCCUGAAUCCAGCCACUCCUGAAGCCAGCAUCCCUGGAUUCCCAGUUAUGUGUGCUGUGAAAUAACUCCUUCUGUCCUGCCCGCUAUCAGUCGGUCAUCCAUAUCCAAAGGAUCUUAACCAGUGGCAGUCCUCUCUCCAUAGACCAGAUAUUUUCUUAGCUUAGGGGAGAAAUUAGACAUAUAAGAAAUAGGAAAGGGGGCUGGAGAGGUGGCUCAGUGGUUGCUCUGGCAGGGGACCCGAGUUCCAUGCUCAGCACCCAAAUCGGACAGCUUUACAAACUCCUGUUAACUCCAGCUCUAGUGAUCCUGACACCUCUGUCUUCCUUGAGGCACCUGCACUCACGUGUACACACACAUGCGCGCACACACACACACAUAAUUAAAAAUAAAAUAAAUCUUUAAAAAAAAAUAAGAGAACCCGGGAGAAACCUGGCAUGAUGGUGGCUCACACCUGUAUUCCUACCAUUCAGGAGGCAGGAGCAUCAAAAUCACAACCCACUGUAACCCCAGUCCCAGGGGAUCUGAUGCCCUCUUCCGACCCUGUGGGCACCAGGCAUGCACGGGGUACACAGACAUACAUGCAGGCAAAUCACCCAUACACAUUUAAUUAGUUAAUUAAAUUAAAAGUUCAAAGUCAUCUUAGCUUAAGUAGUUAGUUCAAGGCCAUCCUGGGCUAUGUGAGAUCAUGUCUCAAACAAACCCAAUAAACAAUCAGGAAGGAAGCAGUGGAGGGAGGGAGGGAGGGAGAGAAAAUGAACUACAACUGGAAUAUUCUAUAACGAAGGGACCCUGCAUAGCCCUCUGAUUUAAAGACAAGCCACAACAUUUGUGGAGGGGCAGCAUCCCAGUGCAGCCAAGUUCUAACACCAGACUGUCUGAUUCCAGGCCACUGCUCUCUCAAAACAUGUCUGCCGAGGCGUCAGCCUGGCAUCUCGAUGGGAGGAGCCGAGAUCCACCCCUGCCAGUCCUCCGACAGUGCUGGCAAGAGGCUCCUUGUUCGAAGUCUGGCCUUCUCUGGAUUCCAUGAUACCAUCCAUCAUUUAUGUCCCACUGGGAAGCCUGCUCAGGUUUCUUGGAGUUUCUGGGUAGAGUAAGGCUACUUAAUACUGUACCCCCCUGCCCCCCACCCUGUACUGGCUGGUUUUGUGUGUCAACUUGACACAAGCUAGAGUCAUCAGAGAGGAAGGAGCCUCAGUUGAGAGAAGGUCUCCAUGAGAUCCAACUCUCAGACAUUUUCUCAAUUAGUGAUCAGUGGGGGAGGGCCCAGACUGUUGUGGGUGGCGCCAUCCCUGGUCCUGGGUUGUAUAAGAAAGCAGGCUGAGCAAGCCAUGUGGAGCAAGCCAGUAAGCAGCACUCCUCCAUGGUUUCUGCAUCAGCUCCUGCCUCCAGGUUCCUGCCCUGCUUGAGUUCCUGUCCUGACUUCCUUCAGUGAUGAACAGCAAUGUGGAAGUGCACUGAGGACAACAAUAUAAACGAGACCAUUAAACUGUUGGGUGACCCUGAGUGACCCAGUGUCCGAGUCUAGUCCCUCUACAUAGCCCAGGCUGGCCUCACACUUGCCAUCCUCCUGCCUCAGCUGUGAGCCAGGGAACUCCAAGACACACAAGGAGAGUCAGCAAAAGGAGAAACCAAAGCCGCAGGGAUCCAGGGCUAGCAAGCGGAUGCUCCUGAUAGAUUUUCGUGAGAGCUCAACUUCCGUGUCCUUCAGGCCUGGGGCUUCUCCUACCUCCUCUCCUCUCUACUGUCCUUGGCUAGUGCUCCCGGCUGUCCACCUCCCUCCCCAUCUCUCUUCUUAACCCUCCCUCCCAGCUCCCCCAUUUAUCGCCCUUCACCCCAGCUGUUCACAA